GCCUAGGCGUCUAGAGCCGAUGAAGGACGUGGCUAAGCUGCGAAAAGCUUCGGGGAGCUGCACACGAGCUUUGAUCCGGAGAUAUCCGAAUGGGGCAACCCAUCAUACUGAAGGUAUGAUAUCCCGCAAGGGAAGGGAACCCGGGGAACUGAAACAUCUAAGUACCCGGAGGAACAGAAAACAAUAGUGAUUCCGCAAGUAGUGGCGAGCGAACGCGCAUAAGGCCCAAACCUACCCAGUUACGGCUGGUUAGGGGUAAUAGGACUA
rnacentral:rRNA from 14 species